GUCUAUGGCCUUACCCCCCUUAUCGCUGCCACCUUGUCUGAUCUUGGAAGCUAGGCAGGGUCGGGCCUGGUUAGUACUUGGAUGGGAGACCUGAAGAGCCCUUGAUGUUGUUAAGG
ensembl:rRNA 5S_rRNA 5S ribosomal RNA